rnacentral:tRNA from 1 species
GAGGGUAUAGCUCAGUGGUAAAGUGCAUGCUUAGCAUGCACAGGGUCCUGGGUUCAAUUCCCAGUACCUCCA